rnacentral:lncRNA from 1 species
CUUGUGGUCCACGGCUGAGAUGUGAGGGUUGGUUCCAGGAUGUGUAUCCGUCAGGAUUUUAGUUUAAACGAAUAAGGUUGGGAUCAGGUCAGCCCGUCGAGAAGAUGUAAGCACCACGGGGUCUUCUGAAGGGACGGCUGCCUGUAACCCAAAGGUCCAUAGCGUUUUCUUUUCUUUUUCUUUAUUUUUAUUUUUGGUUUUUCGAGAUAGGGUUUCUCUGUGUAGCCCUGGCUGUCCUGGAUCUCACUCUGUAGACCAGGCUGGUCUCGAACUCAGAAAUCCGCCUGCCUCUGCCUCCCAAGUGCUGGGAUUAGUGGCUUGUGCCACCACUGCCCGAUGCGUUUUUUUAUUUGUUAUUGGAGUUUCCCUGCCACUCCAGACAGCUUUCACACAGUUAUUUUUGUGGAAGGCCUAGGGUAUUAGAGAACAAAUAGUUAAAAAACAAACCACAACAAAAACAAAAAAACAGGAGACUUUUUAAAAAUGUCAUGAAACUUUUGUUUUGUUGAGACAGGUCUUGCGAUGCAAACCAGGCUACCCUUGAAUUCUCAGCUUCCUAGUUGAUUGCAUGUAUUACCAGGCCCAGGCUAUCCCGAAACUGAGGAAAUAUCCCAGGGAAUAUUGGUGAGUGGGUUGAGUAAAACAUUAACUCCCAAACAUUAACUCCCUGCUAUGUGCUGUUCUCUUUAUAGCCUUUAUCUAAUUUUAAUGUUUUAACAUUUUAACGUUUUAACGUUUUAAUUUGAAACUAGAAAAUAGAGGUUGGCCCAGUCCUACUUUGAGAUUCAGAAACCAUCUGGGCAUUGUGGCACACGUCUUUUAAUUCAGCACUAGGAAGGCAGAAGCAGGUGGAUCUAUAAAUUCAUGGCCAGUCUGCCCUUUACAUAAUGUUUUAGGACAACCAGAGUAACAUGGUGAGAAUUUGUCUCAAAAACAAAAUAAAUACAUCCCGUGUAUACAUUUAUGUUUAUAUAGUUGGCCCUCUGCAUUGUUGGGUUCUACAUCUGUGGGUUCAGCUAAUCUCAAACACAAAGC